rnacentral:rRNA from 1 species
AUAUUAAUAAGGGGAGGAAAAGAAAAUAACAAUGAUUCCCUCAGUAACGGCGAGUGAAGCGGGAAGAGCUCAAUUUGAAAUCUGGCUGCCAAGCGGUAGGCCGAAUUGUAAUCUAGAGAUGCAUUGUCAGUGAGUACCCUGGGUAUAAAUCCUUUGGAACAGGGUGUCGGAGAGGGUGAGAACCCCGUCUUUGACUCAGAGCGUACCGCGUACGACGUGCAUUCGAAGAGUCGGUUUGCUUGGGAAUGCAAACCAAAAUGGGUGGUAAAUUUCAUCUAAAGCUAAAUAUCAGCGAGAGACCGAUAGCGCACAAGUA